rnacentral:miRNA from 1 species
UAUUCUUGGGUGAGGAUUUAAAAAAAGAAAAUGGACAUUCUUGGGUGCUAACUCUUUAGAGAUUCCGAUUUAGCAGAGCUGGGCUGGAGCUCAGGAAUCUGCAUUUUGAAUACACUCCCCAAGGGAAUCCUCAUGCA